rnacentral:rRNA from 1 species
GCAUAUCAAUAAGCGGAGGAAAAGAAACCAACAGGGAUUGCCCCAGUAACGGCGAGUGAAGCGGCAACAGCUCAAAUUUGAAAUCUGGCACCAGUGGUCAGAGUUGUAAUUUGAAGAGGAUGCUUUGGGUGCGGUGCCUUCCGAGUUCCCUGGGACGGGACGCCACAGAGGGUGAGAGCCCCGUAUGGUCGGACGCCUAGCCUGUGUAAAGCUCCUUCGACGAGUCGAGUAGUUUGGGAAUGCUGCUCUAAACGGGAGGUAAAUUUCUUCUAAAGCUAAAUACCGGCCCAAGACCGAUAGCGCACAAGUAGAGUGAUCGAAAGAUGAAAAGCACUUUGAAAAGAGGGUUAAACAGCACGUGAAAUUGUUGAAAGGGAAGCGUUUGUGACCAGACUUGCGCCCGGUGAAUCAUCCAGCUCUCUGCGCUGGUGCACUUUGCCGGGCUCAGGCCAGCAUCGGUCUCCUUAGGGGGAUAAAAGCUCCGGGAACGUAGCUCUUUCGGGAGUGUUAUAGCCCGCUGCAGAAUACCCUUCGGGGGACCGAGGUUCGCGCUCCGCAAGGAUGCUGGCGUAAUGGUUAUCAACGGCCCGUCUUGAAACACGGACCAAGGAGUCAAGCAUUAGGGCGAGUGUUUGGGUGUCAAACCCUCACGCGUAAUGAAAGUGAAUGCAGGUGAGAGCUUCGGCGCAUCAUCGACCGAUCCUGAUGUAUUCGGAUGGAUUUGAGUAAGAGCCUUACCGCUUGGACCCGAAAGAUGGUGAACUAUGCCUGUAUAGGGUGAAGCCAGAGGAAACUCUGGUGGAGGCUCGCAGCGGUUCUGACGUGCAAAUCGAUCGUCAAAUAUGGGCAUGGGGGCGAAAGACUAAUCGAA